rnacentral:rRNA from 1 species
GACGAACGCUGGCGGCAGGCUUAACACAUGCAAGUCGCACGAGAACGCUUUGGCUUUGCCCAGGCCAGUACCAUGGCCGAACGGUGCCUAUCCCCUAAAUUACCUGCCCUCAAGCCCCGGACUAUCACCGGAAACCCUGGCUAAUACCCCCCCUCCUCCGGAUCCCCCAUGGGAACCAAAAUAAAACCUUCCGGCCCCUUUGGAUGGGUCUGCCUUUGAUUAACUUGUUUGUGAAGUAACCGCUCCCCCAGGCCACCAUUCAUAACUGGUCUGAAAAGAACAUUAACCCCCCUGGGACUGAAACCCCGCCCAAACUCCUACCGGAAGCAACCAUGGGGAAUCCUGCCCAAUGGGGUAACCCCUGAUGCCACCCUGCCCCGUGGAAGAAAAAACCCCUAUGGGGCCUAAACUCCUUUUCUGAACCAAAAAACCCCUGUAAUUUCAAGGCCCCACCGUAAUUCAAGAAUAAACACCGGCUAACUCCCUGCCCACCACCCCCGUAAUACCGAAGGUGCCAGCCUUGUCCUGAAUCACUGGGUGUAAAGGGUGCUCAAGCCGGGCAACCAGUCCGAAGUUAAACCCCAUGGCUCAACCAUGGAAGUGCAUUCCAAACUGUUGCUCUUGAAUCCCCGAAAAGCUGUCCGAAUUCCUGGUGUAACCGUGAAAUGCCUAGAUAUCACCAAGAACACCAGAAGCCAAAGCGGACAGCUGGACGGGUACUGACGUUCAGGCAGGAAAGCGUGGGGAGCAACCAGGAUUGGAUACCUUGGUAGUCCACGCGGUAAACGAUGAAUGUUGGCCGUUGCCUCGUUAGGGGGCAGUGGCUAAGUUAACGCGUUAAGCAAUCCACCUGGGGAGUACGAUCGCAAGGUUGAAACUCAAAGGAAUUGACGGGGGCCCGCACAAGCGGUGGAGCAUGUGGCUCAAUUCGAUGCAACGCGAAGAACCUUACCUAGGCUCGAACGCUAGAGGACCGCUCCUGAAAGGGAGCUUCCCCUUUGGGGCUUCUAGCGAGGUACUGCAUGGCUGUCGUCAGCUCGUGUCGUGAGAUGUUGGGUUAAGUCCCGCAACGAGCGUAACCCCUGUUGCUAGUUACCAUCGGGUAAUGCCGGGGACUCUAGCGAAACUGCCUGCGCAAGCAGUGAGGAAGGUGGGGAUGACGUCAAGUCAUCAUGGUCCUUACGCCUAGGGCUGCACACGUGCUACAAUGGCCGGUACAAUGAGCAGCCACCUCGCGAGAGGGAGCGAAUCUCUGAAAACCGGUCCCAGUUCGGAUUGGAGUCUGCAACUCGACUCCAUGAAGCAGGAAUCGCUAGUAAUCGCGGAUCAGCAAUGCUGCGGUGAAUCCGUUCCCGGGCCUUGUACACACCGCCCGUCAAGCCAUGGAAGCUGAGAGCACCCGAAGUCCGUGACUCAACUCCAGCAUUGCGCUGGAGGGAGAGCGGCCGAAGGUGAGUUCAGUGACUGGGGCU